rnacentral:rRNA from 2 species
AAAUUGAAGAGUUUGAUCAUGGCUCAGAUUGAACGCUGGCGGCAGGCCUAACACAUGCAAGUCGAACGGUAGCACAGAGAGCUUGCUCUCGGGUGACGAGUGGCGGACGGGUGAGUAAUGUCUGGGAAACUGCCUGAUGGAGGGGGAUAACUACUGGAAACGGUGGCUAAUACCGCAUAACGUCGCAAGACCAAAGAGGGGGACCUUCGGGCCUCUUGCCAUCAGAUGUGCCCAGAUGGGAUUAGCUUGUUGGUGAGGUAACGGCUCACCAAGGCGACGAUCCCUAGCUGGUCUGAGAGGAUGACCAGCCACACUGGAACUGAGACACGGUCCAGACUCCUACGGGAGGCAGCAGUGGGGAAUAUUGCACAAUGGGCGCAAGCCUGAUGCAGCCAUGCCGCGUGUAUGAAGAAGGCCUUCGGGUUGUAAAGUACUUUCAGCGGGGAGGAAGGUGUUGUGGUUAAUAACCGCAGCAAUUGACGUUACCCGCAGAAGAAGCACC